UACAGAGGGUGCAAGCGUUAAUCGGAAUUACUGGGCGUAAAGGGUGCGUAGGUGGCGUAGUAAGUUGGAUGUGAAAUCCCCGGGCUUAACCUGGGAACUGCAUUCAAAACUGCUUAGCUAGAGUAGAGUAGAGGGAAGUGGAAUUUCCGGUGUAGCGGUGAAAUGCGUAGAUAUCGGAAGGAACACCAGUGGCGAAGGCGACUUCCUGGACUCAUACUGACACUGAGGCACGAAAGCGUGGGGAGCAAACAGG
rnacentral:misc_RNA from 1 species